GUGAAACCUUCCUGCAGAAGCAUUGUCUUAGAAGGAGUUGAGAACUGCCUGUUUCCCUAGAAAAUCGUUGUGAUCAGAGGUUUUAAAUUGGGUCGGCCCAUAGAUCUGCCUCUGGACAAUGAAGCAAGACCUCCUUGCUUAGAUUAUGCACCUUCCAUUUCACACAAUGGACUUCACCCUUCUCCUCUCUGUAAAGAAGAUAUUUCAGCAAGAUUCAUUAAGAUCCUCAACAGUUACCGGGUUUUUAUUAUUUUUUAUUCCUAUUUUCUACAGCUUAUAAUAAUGAAACACUUUCCUCUUCAUAUUUACAUUGUGAGUGUUUAUAUAAUUUCACACUUCCUUAGGAUGGGUUGCCUAGAAUCCCUGAUCCCAGUCCUUGAUUCCUGGAUAGCACAUGCCAGUGUUCUUUGGAGAAUACAUAAGAGGAUCCAGACAAUGGCGUCCUAUUGCCUCAAAAUCUGCUGGAUGAAGUAAAAAUGAUGAAGAGUUCUGUAACACCCUGAAAGGAGGCAGUCCAUGAGGGCUCUCAGAAGUUACACCCCAGUUGUUUCACGUUGUCUCUUCCUGGAGGUGAAAGGAAACAGAUGGUGCUUCCGGGUUAAGCGGAGGCACCUCUGACCUCCAGCCCCGGGAGUCAAAACGCCAUCUGUUGACGGGGCCCCGCCAAAGCUGACGUAGACAGGUCCAGCCUCCAGGUGCCCCCACACCGUUUUCUUGCGUUAUGAAGCUGAGCGGCUUCUUUCUACUCUCUGUGAUCAUCCUCCUUUGCCUCUGCAUGACCCAGCCUGGAGUCUUGAGGAGUGCAGCUGCACGGAAACCGGGAUAUUGCCCAGAGUUUGAUCUUGACUGCCCUUUCACUCUCUUACCUAUGUGCUGGCGCGAUAAGAGUUGCAAGGGGGUCAAGAAGUAUUGCUACUACAACUGUCGGCAUCAGUGUAUGGAGCCCUGGUGGACUUUGGAUUGAGUUUACAAUCAGGAAACAUUUUCCUCUUUACAUUUACAUCGUGAGGUGGAAAGCCCUUCUUAACCAGGACUGAGGAGACACAAGUGCUACAGGCUCAGACUGGGAUAACUGGUCUCCAUGUUGUCCAUGAUCGCUCAGGCCCAGGACUUCCUUUUAGCAAGAGUUAAAUGCUUCUUACUAUGAUAACAAGAUGAAGAAAUAAAGCGUUGUAUAUUUAAAACUCUAUGAAAAUCUAAGUCUGCUGGAUUGAUCUCUUGCUCUCCCUCUCUACUCAGCCAUGUUGCAUAAUCCCUUAGGAACUGUAAAAUGGACAGAGUUACUGUUUCACAUUUAGUUUCAUCAAUUCCUGCACUUGUGUUUUUCUGAUAUAUUUGUCUCUUUCAAUAUCUCCUGACACUCAGAUUCUCUGUUGGUCAGAUUCCAGGUGCAUUUUGGAGUUAAAUUCUCUGAGUUUGCAUCCUAUGAAUGGCAUGCCGAUUAAUCCUGUAAUGGAAGAGCAAGCCAUUUUUGCUUCAGUUUUUCUGGUACUACUGCUGGUGGCCUUUCCAAGUGUUGAAGUAACAUGAUCUGCGAUUGGAUUUGGAACUUAGGGUCGGAAACUGAGCAAGAUGUACUUUAGUUCUAGGUACUUUCAUUCCUAAAAAUUGAGCCACCCUAAAUUAGGAGAACAAAAUCCUUGUGGUUCAGCCUACAUCCCUUGAGUCUUUGCUUGGAGGUUGGGCCCUAGGUCUACCUAAUAAUGAAGUGUAAUUAGCCAUGAAUUUUCCAAAUUUAUAACUCUGUGCUUCAUUCUUCCUUAACUCCCACAAAGGUUGCAGAGGUCUGGGAAAGUAAUUUUCCAAAAUUUUAUUUAUCUCUGACAAGUAUCUUAACAAUUUUGAAAAACUCCAUUUUCCCAAGCAUGUUUUAAAUUGACAUCUAAUAAUUUUAUCAUCAUUGCAUAGUUUCAAGAGAUAAAAAUUUAGGUAUAUGAUAAAUGUUGUCAUUUAAAUCAAAUGGGUAUCUUACUCUAUGAGGUUUCUAAUAGAAUCUAACUACAAUGUUCAUUUGUUAGUAACAUCUAUUAGGGAAGAAAAAAAACAUGUCCUUUUUCCUCAUCAUCUGUCUAUCUUUCACAUCAGAGAGGAACUACCCUCUCUGCAAGAGCUUCGAAGAGAGAAGCUACCCUCUCUGCGAGAGCUUCAAAGACCAGCAGAGACAUCCGAACACCCUGCCUGCAGAGAGGAGCCACCCUCUCCAGGGCCCCCUCUCUGUUGAGAGCUGAAUACUCAAGGGAUGAUCUGCCUACAGAGAGUAACUACCCACUACAGGUCUCCUCUGAGCUCUUCUAACACUAAAUAAAGCUCUUCUUCAUCGUCUUCACCCUUC